GGAGACGUACCCAAGUGGCUAUAAGGGGCUCCCCUGCUAAGGGAGUAGGCUGGGAUAACUGGUGCGAGAGUUCGAAUCUCUCCGUCUCCGCCA
rnacentral:tRNA from 1 species